GUCCCGCGAUCGAAGGGGGAUCUGUCUCACGUUGUGCUGCUGCAGCAUCGCCAACACCAGCAACAGGCAUCGCACGAAUAUGGGUUUUUGUGACUUCUUCAUCAUCAUCAGCAGCAGCAGUCGCAGCCACGGGCGGUGUUGAUUGCGAGCAGGAACGCGACUGUCAGAACACCGCCCGCCCGGGUCGCGCUCCAGCUGAGAGCAGCCACCGCGCCCUGCACAGAGCGCGUGCUGCUGUCGCCUGCCCGUCAAACGACAAUUUGUCGAUCUCGGACAAAACAAAUGUUACAUGAUGCUUAAAUCUGGAUAGAAACUCGGAUUCUCGGCGCUGCUGGUGUGAAGUCUCUGACACUAACCACAGACAUUCUUACAACAAUCAUCGGUGUGCGGCUGCGGUCACCCAGAAUAGGCCGCGGGGCAUCACUUCACAGACACAGAGCAGGUAAUCACAGCAGCGACA